rnacentral:rRNA from 1 species
CCACAACAGGUGGAGCCUGCGGUUUAAUCGGACUCAACGCCGGGCAGCUCACCGGAUAAGACAGCUGGAUGAUAGCCGGGCUGAAGACUCUGCUUGACUAGCUGAGAGGAGGUGCAUGGCCGUCGUCAGUUCGUACUGUGAAGCAUCCUGUUAAGUCAGGCAACGAGCGAGACCCACGCCAACAGUUGCCAGCAUGUCCUCCGGGAUGAUGGGGACACUGUUGGGACCGCCUCUGCUAAAGAGGAGGAAGGAAUGGGCAACGGUAGGUCAGCAUGCCCCGAAUUAUCCGGGCUACACGCGGGCUACAAUGGUCAGGACAAUGGGUAUCGACCACCGAGAGGUGGAGGCAAUCUCCUAAACCUGUCCUUAGUUCGGAUUGUGGGCUGCAACUCGCCCACAUGAAGCUGGAAUCCGUAGUAAUCGCGUUUCAAAAUAGCGCGGUGAAUAUGUCCCUGCUCCUU